AUGAUUCCUCCUGCCAGGAUUGCGGUUGGAAGGGAAUUUUUGAAAAACUUUUGGCAGCAAGGUGCGCAAAAUAUCAAUGGUCCACUGGGAAUACCCAUGUAACAGGUAAGUCUCUAAUAUGGAAGGCAAACUUUAAUCCUGUUUUUUCUUUACAGGUGGAACAAUGAAUUGUGGGUGUGUGCAAGAACCCCCUCUGGACCUGACAAGGGGCCAGCUGAAUAGUUUGCUUCCUUAGGGGCCACGGAUACUUCCUCAGGGGUCAUAAACCCACUCCACCUGCAUCCACAAAUAAUUCACAGCUGCCAGUCUCAGUGCACCACAGUUGAGGAGGAGAAAGGUGGACCACUCCCGGGCCAACUGGCUGCCAGAGUUUUUGAUAUAUACCAGGGCUGUGGCCCACACACAGCAAUGGAGGGCGGCCUCCCUCCUCUAAUAUUUAGGCAUCAUCUAUAAAGGGUAUACUGACAUCGCCAGUGCUGCGUGGUUGCAGUAUGAAGAGGGUAGAAUGAGGGCCGCCCUUAAUCCUGGCUUGGCUUGGGAUCAGUUUAGCUAGCGGCUUUGUCUGCACAUGAUGUCCCUGGCUCAGCCUAAUACUGGAGAUCAUUCUGAUAGAGGACACCUUGUGCAUGGGACACUGGCUACUCUUGGCACCCGUGCCCCCGAAGGGCAGUCAAUUCAGCCACAGCUGCUUUGCUGAGUGUUUACCUCCCAAGGGUUGUAGAUUUAGAUCCAAUCUGUGGCAGCCUAAUAUGUGUGGCAAGGGACAGGGACAGGGAGGUAGGCGUGACAGAAGCAGGGACAGGGGCACCCAGAAACAGGUUGGUAAAGGGCCCCAGCCCCAUAAGGGCAUUCAUUCCUUCAGGAUAGGGGCAGCCUCCACAGCAGCAGUCAUGGGUUGCCCGGGGUUGCUUAUUCAGUGGGUUGGCCGGUGGUGGUUGUCUGCAUGCUGAUCCUACAUCCGCCACGUUUCGACAUUGUAGACUGCUUUUGCUGGUUCUGUUUUUCUUUUCAGGUGCUCGGUUUCACUGCAAGAGGCUUCAGAUCCUCAUCUGCGAGUACUACAUGGUGUUCUGGACAGCUCAGCAAGCCAAACGGAGGCCAAUCGGGUCCCAGCUUGGCCUCAGUGGGCCAUGGUUGAAUGACACAGCCAACAAGGCCUGAGAUGGCCAGGGCUGCUGCCACUUUCAUUUGAGGAGAGGAGCGGGCAUCUGCUUCACACCCUGGUCAUCCAAAUCAGUGGAAAGGCUUCAUGUAUGAGAACAAUCCCAAAGGCAUGUUAUAGCCUGGCAUGAGGGUGCAUAACUUAAUUUACAAAAAUGAAUGGCUGCUGGAAGAUUAGUUAACCAUACAUCCUGACUCCCUUCUUUAUUUCCUCCGACCCACUUUUUGGCUGGGAGCUAAAGAUUCCGAGAUCUCUACUCUUCCCUAUAUCUGAAGACGGGAGCUCUGACUCUCGAAAGCUCAUACCCUGAAAAUCUUGUUGGUCUCUAAGGUGCCACUGGGUCCAAAAUCUACUGUUCUACUGCAGACCAACACGGCUACUUACCUGAAGCUUUAUUCAUCCAGUUACUAUGAGAGCUCUCCUUGUUCUUUGUCCAUCUGCUGUCUAAAUGUAUGACCUCAGAAUGGAUACAUACUCAAGGCAUGUACUAUAAGGAGGUUCCUGACAAAGAACACAGAUCAGCUUCCAGGUUGGAAGUCAAUGGUGGUCACUUCACUCACACCUAUAACAAGUGUAAUGCGGCUUCUCUCUUUUAAAAAUCCAUUUCCUAUAAAGUGGAAAGUAGCACUGUGCUUCUAAUGUGACUCUCAUGACCUCUCGAGGCUAAAUUUUCUUUAGCGGCUAGGACAUUUGAAUUCCUCACAAUUAUAGCUACUGCAUCAGGUCUUGUUUAUUGUGCCCUUCAACUCUCCUCCAUUCAUAUCACUUUCCACGGUUGCUGUGGCAAUUCAUUCAUUGUCUUUUACUGCCUCUGCUUCUCUGUCAUCCGUCCUUGGUUGUCCAUUCAUAGGGAGUCUUGCUGCCCCUGCUCUCUUGAGUUCUCAGCUGAAGACAAGCAGACUGAGCUUCCAGCCUGCUUUCAAUGGGGCUCACCUGAAAAGGAAGACACCUGGGCCAUUUCCAGACAGCUUACCUGCCUCCAG